AAAUGCCUCAACCUAGGAGAGGAAGUGCGCUGCUCAGGAACUACCCGGGGCUGCAGAUUCCCAUCGUCUGGAGGCAGGAAAAGCUGCCUGCAGUGUGUUCGUGUGCCUGUACAGAAUUCUCUUGCCAACCUUUGCAGGGAGAGAUAGCAGCUAAAUGCUCAGAAUUAAAGAGCAACCCCCAAAACCUGCAAAAGAGUCUAAGUGAACAAAGCCUGGCUGGAAUGGAAGAGCUCUGAGUGAAGAGAGUCAGCACAGAGAAGCAAACAGAGGACCCUGUAAGGACUACUUAUCAAACUGUAAUCAACAACAACCAUUAACAACCAACAACCAACCAACCAACCAACAAUCGACAACUCCACCUCUCAGGGCUCUUUUUUAUAUAUUCUCUGAAAACUUUCCAGAAUUCCAAACACCACACAAUCGCAUAAAACUGUCUUCAAGUGUCAGAAUCAUGCCCCAACCAGAGCUCAAGGAAAA
rnacentral:lncRNA from 1 species